GUGCUCACUUCGGCAACACAGAUACUAAAAUUGGAAAGAUAUAGAGAAGGUUAGCAUGGCCCCUGCACAAGAUGACACGCAAAUUUGUAAAGUGUUACAUAUUUUA
rnacentral:snRNA from 1 species